UCAGGAAACUGGCUCCUGAUAACUAGGGUAGGGCCGUGGCUGCUGAGAAACAGCCCCAGUGAGAAAGACUUUCUAGGUGUAUGCUCAGAUGGGAAGGAAUCUAACGGGAGUUCAGGCAUGCAGAUUUGAGAUGCACCCCAUCCCUGAGAGAGCCACGCAGGAUUUUAAGAGGAUGCUACCCAUGCAGGGACAGUCUGUCCUCCAUGUUCAUCAAUUUCCCUGGCCUUGCCUUUAACCAGCUCUGGUAGAAACCUCUAGAAAAAAGUCUUCCAUUGAUAUUGGACAUGGACAGACUUUUCUUGUGACUAUUCCGUGAGCAAUACAGUCUAACUGUACAGGGCAUUUUUAUUUCUUGAGGUGUGACAGGUAAUCUAGAGAUGAUACCAACGUAUAAGAGAGAACGCAGACAUGAUGCUACCUGCCUGAGUCUCAGUGACUCAGAAGGCUGAGGCAGGAGACUCACCUAGCCAGUGUGUAAGACAAGCUUGAGCAAUGUUGUAAGAUCCCAUCUCAAAAAUAAAUGAGGAACAUUUGGAAUGAAAUGCAAAUAAACAAAUACCAUGCAUUCUAUAGACAGUACCCUAAUCUCAGAAUUUGUAUGCUUGGGGACAGCUAAUUCAGCAGUAGACUUAUUUUUCUAUAAAAGACUGGAUAAGGAAUAUUUUAGGGACUGGAGAGGGGCUUACAUUUAAGACUUAGCACUCCUGAUCUUGCAGAGGACUUGGGUUCAGCUCCUAACACCCACGUGGCAGUUCACAGCUGCCUGUAUGUCCAAUUUUAGGAGAUCUGAUGCCUUCUUCUGGGUCCAAAGGCCCAGGCACGUAUGUGGUACACAUACAUGCCUGCUCUUAUAAUCAUAAAAUGUUUUGAAAGAAUAAGUACUUCAGGCUUUGUAUACUUCAAGGAGUCUCAGUCACAUAAUAAUUUUGUUAACUUUUUAUAAUCCUUUUAAAAUGUAAGAUCCCUGUAAUCCAAGGGGCAUCUAGGCAUGGACACUACUUGGCUGACUUCUGCUUUAGGGAAAAGCCAAUCAGAUACAGGGAAUCGGACCAUCAGGAGCGCUGCACCUGAACAUUCCAGGAAUAGCGCACCUCAGGCUAGGCAUUUAGAAAGGGACCAGUAAAGAGUAAGUCUGACCAGAGUCUGCAGUAUGUCAAGAGAGGAAGGAAGGAAGGGGUUAAAAGGAACACAGCAAGAGCCUAGGAACUAAACCUGCUGUGCCUUACAUGCCUGCUGAUAGAAACCAGCCAACUAGAAAUAAGACUAAGCAAUGAUACAUUCCUACCCAAGAGCUUUUGCUGCCACAGCCUGCAGCUCGGGUCCUGGAACCCUGAAUGAGGCAGAGAGGGAAGGAAGAAAAGACAGACACACACAUACAGGAAAGCUGGCAUCCAGUGGAGCUGUGCGCUGUGUUGGAGGGCACCUACCAAGCAACCCGGAACCUCAGGUGUUUAUUAGGUGGAGCACAGAGGAGGGCCUAGCUAGUCUGGGUAGGAGGGCUCUGUGGAUUAGCAGGCUGGGGCUGCAAAUGUCCUGGGGAAGGAAGCUGCAGCUGCUAAUCUUUGCACACUGAUCACUCAUACUUAGACUCACCCUUGGCCAUCUCCCCUGAGCCUGGCCCAUAUAGGGAUCUGACUUUGUCAGUUUCUCAUGAUUUGAGGCCUGGCCUUUGUUGUAGACAUUCUCCCAGGGGAAUUCCUCCACCUCCUACAAACUCAGACUCAUGUGCAAAGGAUAAAAGUCAUAGGAACAUUUAAUAUUUUUACAUGGCUGUUGCAUUAGCAAGAUUUUCUCAUUUCUAAAUAAUCUUGGAUGUGGGUAGAAUUCUAUUAUGAAAGCUUAUUCCUACAUCCUUUUCUAAGUGGAAAAGGUAGGACAAUUAAAAUCCCAACAUUAGGAGAGUGAUUUUUUUUAAAGCUCUCUCUCUUUUUUUUAAAGUAAUCUGUAGUGUUUAGAGGAUGGGUCUGAGUCACAGAAGGGUCACACUCCCUCUGAAGAUUCUCAGGAAGGGUCCCCCUUGUCUCUGGGAAUUGCCAGCAUCCCUUGGCUUGUAGAUACGUGAUUGUACCCUGUCUUUUCUGCUUGUACACAGACACUAUUCCUUAGAUUUAUGACUACUUAUCCAAUAGCAUUUCCCUUUGGCUAAUUGCAUCUAUAGAACCAUAUCCUCUUUGAUGUGGACAUCAACUUGGGAGUUAACCCAAUGUAGAUGGGUAGACUAUUACUGAAUAAAGACCCUGGUUAGAGAGCAUCUGGUUUGGUAUCAUACCUUAAACACCUUGAAAGACUGUAUUUCCCCAAAUGUUGCCAAUGGCAAACAGUAUAUACGCUCUGGGCAAUUUCAGAGCUCCACUAAAUUUGAAUAUUUUCUAAAUUUCUGACAAUGAGUAUUUCAUUGAUGAUAAAAUAUGACAAAUUGUGCACCAAGCCCUUUAUUUGCACCAAAGGGUCCCUAACCUGUUCACCAACUACAGGUUUGAAAUAAAGCAAUAGCGUUGAGAGCCAUCAUGUUGGUCUGACGGCUAAAAAUGGUUCAGAGUUUGCCAAAUUCAGAUGGCACUUUUAACACGUCAUUUAAAACAAUGAAUAUCUUCAAGUUGAACACUGCUUGGUAGACAUGUUACUUUCUGUUAUUUUCCAAGUUAUGGAUAAUCAAGGUGAGUGGGUUUGAGGAGUUUGCUGUAGUUGGGUUUUUUUGUUCUUAUGCUCUAGGCUGCGAGCAUGGGUCAGGGAUAGCGUGCAUGCUCAGUAUGUGUGAGGCGCUGGGUUCAGUCCCUCGUACCCAGAACAUAGAAAUAUUUUAAAAAACAAUAAUUACAGCCCACGCUCUAACAGGCCUGCCAGGUCCCGUAGGCAUAGUAAAGUCGAGCAAACCAUGUAGUUCAUGGUUGGCGAUGCCCGAAAGGGGCGGCAGUUGCUGGACCGGUUGUUGUCAUCUUCUAGGCAAGGAAUCGUUCCUGCCGGCCUCACGGAAAAUGAGCUAUGGAGAGCGAAGUACGCGUACGACUCGGCCUUCCAUCCUGACACCGGUGAAAAGAUGACUCUGAUAGGAAGAAUGUCAGCUCAGGUCCCGAUGAACAUGACCAUCACAGGCUGCAUGAUGACCUUCUACCGGUACGUUCCAGCAGGGUGCGCGUCACGGGUUAGUCAGUGUGCUUUUGCAGUCAUUCAAAGAAUAUUUUAAUAUGAGUUCUACGGAAAUAAAAUGCCACAGUGAUUAUGUUAACAAGAAGGAUGAAUUCAUCCCUAUGUCAGAGUAUGUUAUACCCCAUAAAUAUAGUCA
rnacentral:lncRNA from 1 species